AAUGUAAAACUUAUGAUGUAUCUCAGAGAGGAGGGACUACACAGAUAUGACACAAUCUGAUAUACAGACUGUAGAAACAAUUCAGUCUGAAUCAUCUUAAAGUGAACAGUGGAAUGUGCAAUGGAGAUUUAUUCAGUUAUUCUCAUAUACAGUCUGGCAUGUGCUGCGUUUGGAAACAUCACACCGAAGAAAACAGAGCAUUUUACUGAGAAGGGUUCAAAUGUUACACUAUCCUGCAGUUAUUCCUCUGCCGAUUAUCUAUACUGGUACCGUCAGUAUACCGGAUCAGCUCCUGAAUUUAUUGUGCUCAUCUUUGAUGGUACAACAAUCACCAAAAAGUCUGAUGUAGAUCCAAGACUGUCUGUUAAACUCACUAAAGGGGAACAAACACAUGUGGAUCUGGAGAUCUCCUCCGCUGAAGUGACAGACUCUGCUGUGUAUUACUGUGCUCUGAGGCCCACAGUCACAGGAAACACUAGAACACUGUACAAAAACCUGACACAACUGAAUGUGUACAACUAAUUCCUUUCCAUAAAUCUGAAUUAUCAUUU